CGAGGUGUAGCGCAGUUGGUAGCGUGCCUGCUUCGGGAGUAGGAAGUCGCAGGUUCAAGUCCUGUCACCUCGACCA
rnacentral:tRNA from 1 species